CCUACGGGGGGCUGCAGUAACGAAUAUUCCGCAAUGGGCGCAAGCCUGACGGAGCGACGCCGCGUGAAGGAUGAGGUCCUUCGGGAUGUAAACUUCGAUAGUUGGCUGGAAAGCGAUUCGGGCGAAUAGUCCGGAAAGUUGAUCGGCCAACGAAAGGGGUGGCUAACUCCGUGCCAGCAGCCGCGGUAAGACGGAGACCCCUAGCGUUGUUCGGAAUUACUGGGCUUAAAGGGCGUGUAGGCGGAACGGUAAGUACUUUGUGAAAUCCCCGGGCUCAACCCGGGAAUUGCUUGGUAUACUGCCGUUCUUGAGGCAGGUAGGGGUCACUGGAACCUUAGGUGGAGCGGUGAAAUGCGUAGAUAUCUAAGGGAACGCCUGUGGCGAAAGCGGGUGACUGGGCCUGUCCUGACGCUGAGACGCGAAAGCGUAGGGAGCAAACGGGAUUAGAUACCCCAGUAGUC
rnacentral:rRNA from 1 species